rnacentral:rRNA from 1 species
AAUCAACGCUGGCGGCGUGCCUCAGACAUGCAAGUCGAACGAUUAAAGCUCUCUUCGGAGAGUGUAUAGAGUGGCGCACGGGUGAGUAACACGUAAGUAAUCUACCUUCGAGUGGGGAAUAACACCGAGAAAUCGGUGCUAAUACCGCAUAAUGCAGCGGCAUCGCAAGAUGACAGUUGUUAAAGAUUUAUCGCUUGAAGAGGAGCUUGCGGCAGAUUAGCUAGUUGGUAAGGUAAUGGCUUACCAAGGCUACGAUCUGUAACCGGUCUAAGAGGACGGUCGGUCACACUGACACUGAAUAACGGGUCAGACUCCUACGGGAGGCAGCAGUCGGGAAUUUUGGGCAAUGGGCGAAAGCCUGACCCAGCAACGCCGCGUGAAGGAUGAAGUAUUUCGGUAUGUAAACUUCGAAAGAAUGGGAAGAAUAAAUGACGGUACCAUUUAUAAGGUCC